rnacentral:rRNA from 1 species
AUACGGAGGGGGCCAGCGUUGUUCGGAAUUAUUGGGCGUAAAGGGCGCGCAGGCGGCCUGGUAAGUCGGACGUGAAAUCCCGCGGCUCAACCCGGGAACUGCGCUUAAUACUGGCGAACUUGAGUCCGGGAGAGGGUGGCGGAAUUCCCAGUGUAGAGGUGAAAUUCGUAGAUAUUGGGAAGAACACCAGUGGCGAAGGCGGCCACCUGGCCCGGUACUGACGCUGAGGUGCGAAAGCGUGGGGAGCAAACAGGAUUAGAAACCCCAGUAGUCC